UACGUAGGGUGCAAGCGUUAAUCGGAAUUACUGGGCGUAAAGCGUGCGCAGGCGGUUGUGCAAGACAGAUGUGAAAUCCCCGGGCUUAACCUGGGAACUGCAUUUGUGACGUGCACGGCUAGGAGUGUGUCAGAGGGGGGUAGAAUUCCACGUGUAGCAGUGAAAUGCGUAGAUAUGUGGAGGAAUACCGAUGCGAAGGCGCC
rnacentral:rRNA from 1 species